rnacentral:rRNA from 5 species
UUGAUGGAUAGUAUGAAUGGUAUAACGAGUAUAACACUGUCUCAGAUAAAAAUCUUAUAAAAUUAGAAUAAUAGUAAAGAUACUAUUUUAAACUGUAAGACGAGAAGACCCUAUAGAGCUUAACUAUAACUCUUUAAAAAGUUGAUAAACUAGUUUAUCAAUAAAAAGAGAUAGGUAGUUUAGUUGGGGCGACUACUUUCUAAAACUAACGAAAGUAAACAAGAAUUAAUUAAAAAAUUUACUGUUUAAUUUAUGAAUUUAACAGUUAUUAUAAUAGGUAAUAAUGACCCGUUAAUAAUUGAUAAUAGUAUUAACGAUCAAUAAAUAAAAGCUACCUUAGGGAUAACAGGAUAAUUUUGUU